GGGGAAUUUUCCGCAAUGGGCGAAAGCCUGACGGAGCAAUACCGCGUGAGGGAGGACGGCUUUUGGGUUGUAAACCUCUUUUAUCAGGGAAGAAACAAAUGACGGUACCUGAUGAAUCAGCAUCGGCUAACUCCGUGCCAGCAGCCGCGGUAAUACGGAGGAUGCAAGCGUUAUCCGGAAUUAUUGGGCGUAAAGCGUCCGUAGGUGGUUGUUCAAGUCUGCUGUCAAAGCGUGGAGCUUAACUCCAUACCGGCAGUGGAAACUGGGCGACUAGAGUGCGAUAGGGGUAACGGGAAUUCCCAGUGUAGCGGUGAAAUGCGUAGAGAUUGGGAAGAACACCAGCGGCGAAAGCGCGUUACUGGGUCUGCACUGACACUGAGGGACGAAAGCUAGGGGAGCGAAAGGGAUUAGAUACCCCUGUAGUCCUAGCCGUAAACGAUGGAUACUAGGUGUGGUUCGUAUCGACCCGAGCCGUGCCGGAGCUAACGCGUUAAGUAUCCCGCCUGGGGAGUACGCACGCAAGUGUGAAACUCAAAGGAAUUGACGGGGGCCCGCACAAGCGGUGGAGUAUGUGGUUUAAUUCGAUGCAACGCGAAGAACCUUACCAAGGCUUGACAUGUCGCGAACCUUCUUGAAAGGGAAGGGUGCCUUCGGGAGCGCGAACACAGGUGGUGCAUGGCUGUCGUCAGCUCGUGUCGUGAGAUGUUGGGUUAAGUCCCGCAACGAGCGCAACCCACGUUUUUAGUUGCCAGCAUUCAGUUGGGCACUCUAGAGAGACUGCCGGUGACAAACCGGAGGAAGGUGUGGAUGACGUCAAGUCAGCAUGCCCCAUACGCCUUGGGCUACACACGUACUACAAUGCUACGGACAGAGGGACGCCAGCCCGCGAGGGUGAGCAAAUCUCGUAAACCGUGGCUCAGUUCAGAUUGCAGGCUGCAACUCGCCUGCAUGAAGGCGGAAUCGCUAGUAAUCGCCGGUCAGCAUACGGCGGUGAAUACGUUCCCGGGCCUUGUACACACCGCCCGUCACACCAUGGGAGUUGGUCAUGCCCGAAGUCGUUACUCCAACCAUUCGUGGAGGGGGACGCCGAAGGUGGGGCUGAUGACUGGGGUGAAGUCGUAACAAGGUAGCCGUACCGGAAGGUGUGGCUGGAUCACCUCCUUUUAGGGAGACCUUACCCCCAUUUCCUUAAGCUUUAGGAUAAAUGCCUAGAGCACGCAGAGGAGUGGUUGGUCAUCUCAAGGUCGGUGAGGGUUGGAUGUCAGGCUUUCAAACUUGUCUAGUUCAUCUUUAAAGAUUAAGACUGCAACAAUGCAACAAUACAAGUGCUUACUUGAGCGCAAAUUAGCUUGCAAGCCUUUUGAUUGCUGCGCUUAAUGCUAAAUGGAAUGUAUUCAGCAACAGUAUUAGUUGAACUAAGCUGCCUGCUGGGAGACAUUCCAGCAAGAACCAUGAAAACUGCAUAGUGAUAAGCAAUUAAGUCAGGUAGAAGUUCAUCUUUAGUUUGUCUUCGUCUUCAGGAUUGAAGCGACGAGAUGAACCUUCAUAGACACCAAUGUAAAGACAAGUUAGUGGUCAAGCUAACAAGGGCAGAUGGUGGAUACCUAGGCACACAGAG
rnacentral:sRNA from 1 species